ensembl:lncRNA
GCUGAACUUUAUCCUUUAAGUGCAUUUUUUGUAUAAUUGUUUAGGUUUGCAUGCACUUAAUGCUCUGCAUGUAGAGUAGACAUGUCAUGCACUCUGCAGUAGAAAAGUUAAGUAAGUAACUCUGAAUAAAGGGCGUGUUUUAUUUUAUUAGGCCUACGUGCAUAAAGUAGCAGAGUGUGUGCGGCGCAGAGUACUAGAUAACCAUGACAACAACUGCUCCUGUUUAUGGGGUUGCCAGGCAACUAUCAAAAAAACUCUCACUUGGCACAGUUCUGUUUCCGGGUGGAUUGAAAGGCUCUGAUUGCUUUUACAAAGCCAGGUGGAAUCCAACCAGUUUCAUCUCAGGUUUCACUGUUCUACAGGUAAAGGUGAAGGUGUGGGCGAGUGCUGAGGGAACCCACCUGAAGGGAGGUGUUAAGCCCCGCCCCUGGGAGGGCAGGUGUGUGCUGUAUAUUUAUAUAUAUAAAUAUGUAAAGUCGGUGUUGCCAGUGCGGUCCACACUGCUCAGCUUGACAUGUCCCACACUUUUUGCUCUGCUUCUCAGCUUGGUUAGCCGUGUUAGCUUUGUUAGCUUUGCUAGUUUUGUUAGCUUUGUCAGGUUUAGCAGGUUUGUUGGAUUACGCUCUCUGUAAGAAUGAAGCCGUGUCUUUCGGUGAGUGUUCCCAAAAGUCUGAGGACAAAUUCUUCCGUAGAAUUUCUGUAUUCAGUACAAUUACUGUUAAAAAUCCUUCUUUUUGUGUUUUUCUAUGUAAAGGUCUCUCUGGUGCUGAUGAGGUUCCUAUACCAGCACAGCGUAUCAGCAUGUCCAAAUGGAUAUCAUAUCAAUGGGAAUACUAAAUGCUGUCUGUGUCAGAAUGAACAACGUGGCCAAAAGACUGUUACACAGUGCACAAAAUUCUCGGACGCCGUGUGUGAGACUGAACCGUCUCCCACACCAGUGACUCUAGCCCAGCCUGAGUGGACUGUGAUCGCUCUGUAUGUCACAGCUUCUGUAGUUCUGCUGCUCAUCAUCUCGGCCACUGCCUGCAAGCUGUACCUGAACCACAAAGCUCCACUGGAUCCUGCAAAAAAACCGCUGAAGACUCCGUCAUUAACAGAGUCCAUGGCAUAGGCAUAGUGUUUUGGAAACUGCCUCAGAAAACUAAACACAUACCAGGCCGAGUCCAGGCACGUCUGAUCCGGGGCUGGUCACCGGUAGUGUUUACCUGCUUUACUGGAAACACCUGAGCAGCUCUUAUCCAGCUCUUAUCUCUUAUCUAGACAGGCACAGUUCUGCGUCAGAACCUUCACUGCAAAAUCAGAUUCAUCAGUUCAACCUAAUAUAAACUGUUCUUAUGGAAACAAACAAAUAACACAAACUAUUUUUAUUUAAAACUUAAAAAAAAAAAGUUUAUUUAAGUUUAUUUUAAAACUCGAAACCCCAAACCAGUUCAGCUGUUUUUAUUGAAUAACUAAAUGUUUUUUUAAUGUAUAACUUACAAAAGAAUAUAUGUUUAUACAAAAAUCAUAUGAUGCAUUACUGAUCUGGUUGGUUCAAAUUGUUGAUUUAAGUGCGUCACUAGAGGAGUACAGUAUGACCCAAUAUGACAAUAUACUGACCCAGAAAUAAUUGUAAAAACAAUAUUAUUGUCAUUUUAAGACCCAUUUUUAUCCCACUAAAAUUAUAAUAAUAUUAUAAUUAAAUUACACCCUUAAUCAUGAUUAACGGAAUUUGGAUUAUUACGAAUAUUUAAAAAAUACACAAAAAGACAUACAAAAUAAAUACACUAAAUUAAUCA